rnacentral:rRNA from 1 species
UACAGAGGGUGCGAGCGUUGUCCGGAAUUAUUGGGCGUAAAGAGCUCGUAGGCGGCCUGUCGCGUCGGAUGUGAAAGCCCGGGGCUUAACCCCGGGUCUGCAUUCGAUACGGGCAGGCUAGAGUGUGGUAGGGGAGAUCGGAAUUCCUGGUGUAGCGGUGAAAUGCGCAGAUAUCAGGAGGAACACCGGUGGCGAAGGCGGAUCUCUGGGCCAUUACUGACGCUGAGGAGCGAAAGCGUGGGGAGCGAACAGG